rnacentral:rRNA from 1 species
CGCUGGCGGCAUGCCUUACACAUGCAAGUCGAACGGCAGCACGGGGGCAACCCUGGUGGCGAGUGGCGAACGGGUGAGUAAUGCAUCGGAACGUGCCCAGUCGUGGGGGAUAACGUAGCGAAAGCUACGCUAAUACCGCAUACGAUCUAUGGAUGAAAGCGGGGGACCUUCGGGCCUCGCGCGAUUGGAGCGGCCGAUGUCAGAUUAGGUAGUUGGUGGGGUAAAGGCCUACCAAGCCGACGAUCUGUAGCUGGUCUGAGAGGACGACCAGCCACACUGGGACUGAGACACGGCCCAGACUCCUACGGGAGGCAGCAGUGGGGAAUUUUGGACAAUGGGCGCAAGCCUGAUCCAGCAAUGCCGCGUGCAGGAUGAAGGCCUUCGGGUUGUAAACUGCUUUUGUACGGAACGAAAAGGCUCUGGCUAAUACCUGGGGCUGAUGACGGUACCGUAAGAAUAAGCACCGGCUAACUACGUGCCAGCAGCCGCGGUAAUACGUAGGGUGCAAGCGUUAAUCGGAAUUACUGGGCGUAAAGCGUGCGCAGGCGGUUUUGUAAGACAGGUGUGAAAUCCCCGGGCUUAACCUGGGAACUGCACUUGUGACUGCAAG